rnacentral:lncRNA from 1 species
AACCCCGAGGGCUGGGACAGGGCCAAGGGACGGGCAAUUCGUAACUGUCCGGGGACGGGGACGGGGACGAGGACGGGGUACCAUAAUCCGGGGACAUCCCCGUCGGGUUAUGGUACCCCGUUCUGGGGGGGACAGCUUCUAGAAAAACAAAGAAGAGAACAUGCUGUAGUUGAGGCUUUCGGGCUUGGGGAGGUGCUUCGUGGCGAGGAUGGCAUCGUCAAGCUGGACGCCUGGCCUUGCUUGGCGCUGAAGUGUGGCUGGGUUGGCGAGGUGGCGCUGAAGGACUUGGGGCGUGGAUGCGGCGGCGUGGCAGGGAGGCCGAGGCACCGAGCUCGCGUCGGCUGGCCUGUGGCGGCUGCUUGUGGGGAGACUAGGAGAGCAACUGGAUUUCACCAAAAUGUGAGUGACCUAGGGUUGGAUCUGAAUAUUUAUAUGCACAUAUGUGAUGGGCCACUCGUUGGGCUUUAUGGGCUGUGAGCUUAUGGAA